GACGAACGCUGGCGGCGUGCUUAACACAUGCAAGUCGAACGGAAAGGCCCUGCUUUUGUGGGGUGCUCGAGUGGCGAACGGGUGAGUAACACGUGAGUAACCUGCCCUUGACUUUGGGAUAACUUCAGGAAACGGGGGCUAAUACCGGAUAGGAGCUCCUGCUGCAUGGUGGGGGUUGGAAAGUUUCGGCGGUUGGGGAUGGACUCGCGGCUUAUCAGCUUGUUGGUGGGGUAGUGGCUUACCAAGGCUUUGACGGGUAGCCGGCCUGAGAGGGUGACCGGCCACAUUGGGACUGAGAUACGGCCCAGACUCCUACGGGAGGCAGCAGUGGGGAAUAUUGCACAAUGGGCGGAAGCCUGAUGCAGCAACGCCGCGUGCGGGAUGACGGCCUUCGGGUUGUAAACCGCUUUCGCCUGUGACGAAGCGUGAGUGACGGUAAUGGGUAAAGAAGCACCGGCUAACUACGUGCCAGCAGCCGCGGUGAUACGUAGGGUGCGAGCGUUGUCCGGAUUUAUUGGGCGUAAAGGGCUCGUAGGUGGUUGAUCGCGUCGGAAGUGUAAUCUUGGGGCUUAACCCUGAGCGUGCUUUCGAUACGGGUUGACUUGAGGAAGGUAGGGGAGAAUGGAAUUCCUGGUGGAGCGGUGGAAUGCGCAGAUAUCAGGAGGAACACCAGUGGCGAAGGCGGUUCUCUGGGCCUUUCCUGACGCUGAGGAGCGAAAGCGUGGGGAGCGAACAGGCUUAGAUACCCUGGUAGUCCACGCUGUAAACGGUGGGUACUAGGUGUGGGGUCCAUUCCACGGGUUCCGUGCCGUAGCUAACGCUUUAAGUACCCCGCCUGGGGAGUACGGCCGCAAGGCUAAAACUCAAAGGAAUUGACGGGGCCCCGCACAAGCGGCGGAGCAUGCGGAUUAAUUCGAUGCAACGCGUAGAACCUUACCUGGGUUUGACAUGGAUCGGGAGCGCUCAGAGAUGGGUGUGCCUCUUUUGGGGUCGGUUCACAGGUGGUGCAUGGCUGUCGUCAGCUCGUGUCGUGAGAUGUUGGGUUAAGUCCCGCAACGAGCGCAACCCUUGUUCACUGUUGCCAGCACGUUAUGGUGGGGACUCAGUGGAGACCGCCGGGGUCAACUCGGAGGAAGGUGGGGAUGACGUCAAGUCAUCAUGCCCCUUAUGUCCAGGGCUUCACGCAUGCUACAAUGGCUGGUACAGAGAGUGGCGAGCCUGUGAGGGUGAGCGAAUCUCGGAAAGCCGGUCUCAGUUCGGAUUGGGGUCUGCAACUCGACCUCAUGAAGUCGGAGUCGCUAGUAAUCGCAGAUCAGCAACGCUGCGGUGAAUACGUUCCCGGG
rnacentral:rRNA from 1 species